UCGACCCUACGGGGGGCAGCAGUGAGGAAUAUUGGUCAAUGGGCGCGAGCCUGAACCAGCCAAGUAGCGUGAAGGAUGACUGCCCUACGGGUUGUAAACUUCUUUUAUAAAGGAAUAAAGUGAGGCACGUGUGCCUUUUUGUAUGUAUUUUAUGAAUAAGGAUCGGCUAACUCCGUGCCAGCGGCCGCGGUAAUACGGAGGAUGCGAGCGUUAUCCGGAUUUAUUGGGUUUAAAGGGUGCGUAGGCGGGACGGUAAGUCAGCGGUAAAAAUGCGGAGCUCAACUCCGUCGAGCCGUUGAAACUGC
rnacentral:rRNA from 1 species